rnacentral:lncRNA from 1 species
UACCUACUUGUACUCAUCACCUCCUCCUCCCAAGAAGCCCUAUUAUUAUCACUCUCCUCCACCACCUUCACCUCCUCCACCUAAGCCAUACUACUAUCAUUCACCACCACCACCUUCACCUCCUCCACCCAAGCCAUACUACUAUCACUCACCACCACCACCUUCACCUCCUCCACCUAAACCAUACUACUAUCACUCACCACCACCACCUUCACCUCCUCCACCUAAACCAUACUACUAUCACUCACCACCACCACCUUCACCUCCUCCACCUAAACCAUACUACUAUCACUCACCACCACCACCUUCACCUCCUCCACCUAAGUCAUAUUACUAUCACUCACCACCACCACCACCCAAAAAGAAGCCAUACUACUACCAUUCUCCCCCACCACCUUCACCACCUCCUCCUAAGCCAUACUACUAUCACUCUCCCCCACCGCCUUCACCUCCUCCACCUACGCCAUACUACUAUCAUUCUCCCCCACCACCCUCACCACCUCCACCUAAGCCAUACUACUACCAUUCACCACCACCCCCACCGAAGAAGAAGCCUUACUACUACCACUCUCCACCACCACCUUCAC